UACGUAGGUGGCAAGCGUUGUCCGGAUUUACUGGGCGUAAAGAGCGCGCAGGCGGUUGAUUAAGUCGAAUGUGAAAGCCCCCGGCUCAACUGGGGAGGGUCAUUCGAUACUGAUCGACUUGAAGGCAGGAGAGAGAAGUGGAAUUCCUGGUGUAGCGGUGAAAUGCGCAGAUAUCAGGAAGAACACCCGUGGCUAAGGCGGCUCUCUAGUACGGUACUGACGCUGAGACGCGAAAGCGUGGGGAGCGAACAGG
rnacentral:rRNA from 1 species